AUUGAACGCUGGCGGCAGGCUUAACACAUGCAAGUCGAACGGGGUGAUGGUGCUUGCACUAUCACUUAGCGGCGGACGGGUGAGUAAUGCUUAGGAAUCUGCCUAUUAGUGGGGGACAACAUCUCGAAAGGGAUGCUAAUACCGCAUACGUCCUACGGGAGAAAGCAGGGGAUCACUUGUGACCUUGCGCUAAUAGAUGAGCCUAAGUCGGAUUAGCUAGUUGGUGGGGUAAAGGCCUACCAAGGCGACGAUCUGUAGCGGGUCUGAGAGGAUGAUCCGCCACACUGGGACUGAGACACGGCCCAGACUCCUACGGGAGGCAGCAGUGGGGAAUAUUGGACAAUGGGGGGAACCCUGAUCCAGUCAUGCCGCGUGUGUGAAGAAGGCCUUAUGGUUGUAAAGCACUUUAAGCGAGGAGGAGGCUCUUUUGGUUAAUACCCAAGAUGAGUGGACGUUACUCGCAGAAUAAGCACCGGCUAACUCUAUGCCAGCAGCCGCCGCCG
rnacentral:rRNA from 1 species